rnacentral:lncRNA from 1 species
AUCUUAUUCUUUGUGCUCAUUACUUGCUUACUUCUUAUUUAUGUUUGAUUUUGUUUCUAUUGCAAGUUGAUACAUUUCACUCUUUACCUUGACACAUUGCUUAAGUAGUUCAAUCUUUAAAAUUUUAAAAAGAUCCAAUUCACCCCCCACUUGGGCUCCAUAUAUGGGCAACAGAGAGUCCUAGUAAAUUUAGGACUCUUGCAUAUUAAUCCAAUUUGACUCAAUCUGGACUAA